ensembl:lncRNA
CAGAUGCUUGCCCUGGGGAAGCUGUGUGCACUACCCUGUCUGGAUUUUGCUGCCCCUUUUCUCAUCCCUUCCUGGCUCAAGGUCUUCACACAUCACGAGGCUGAGCAGGUGCUGUAGACAGGACAACUCAGCUGUGGGUGGAAAUCUCUCAGCCACACAUCUUCCCUUUGCUGGACAAACAAACAGCAUCUCCAGCUGUGCUGUUAAGUUCUUGUGAUGUGAAACACCAGCAAGCAAUAUACAUUUCUGCAAACCCAGCAUGCUCAGAUGGGAAUUCCCAUACAUGAGCCACAGGGCCAGUCCAGAAUGUGCCUUUGUGAAAACCUUUCUGGACAUGGAGAGCUUCAUGGCACACAAAUACCUUUAAGUGGUGAGGAGCUCAUUUGUGACUUGCUGAAGGCAUCCUUGGUUUUCAAUUUGGGGAGUCAGGCAGACAGUAUUUACCAAGUCUUUGUUUAACUGUACAAGCCUCCUGUUUUAGCUUUUCUGUCUGGUUAUUUCUGCAUAUAUGAAAGAAGUCAGAUGGACUAGAAAAGUGGAAAAGUAUGUAUCAUAAGCUCCCCUGCAAUUUAAGCAGAGGCAGUAUGUGAUAAUGGAGAUUACAACUUAAUGAAUGGCACCUAACAUGCACUCACAUCUAUGAAUCCCUCUGCUUAAGGCUUGAGUAUCUAAUCAGUGACUCAAAAUUACACAAACAAACAGACUGUAUUUGUAAACAAGGUCUAUAAUCUCAUUGUGCAAAGUGAUUAGUACAUAACACAGAUGACCGUAUGCAUUCAUAGCCCCAUCUGGACAAUCUGCAUCCACAAAGUGCAAGCUAAUGGGCCUCAUCCUGACCUCUCAUUUGUUUACAUGGGUUUUGUCAGUGCAUGUCCUGAUCCACACCAUUUGUUUACAUGGGUUUUGUCAGUGCAUGUCCUGAUCCACACCAGUGACAACAGAACUCUCUACUUUCUCCCCAUUGCUAAUAAGAAUUUGCAUCAAAAUCUCACAGAGCGAGCAGGCAGUGAACAGCCCUUUGCUUUGGGAAUCACUAAAAACCUGAACUUCAGUGCUGCAUCUGUAGGAAGACCACCAAAUUUGCCUUCUUUUGCAAGCUAUUGAAAAAUAAGAUCAAUACACGGCAAUCAUAGUAAGAG